UACGUAGGGUGCAAGCGUUAAUCGGAAUACUGGCGUAAGACGUGCGCAGCGGUUUGUAAGUCUGACGUGAAAUCCCCGGGCUUAACCUGGGAAUUGCGUUGGAGACUGCAAGGCUGGAGUCUGGCAGAGGGGGGUAGAAUUCCACGUGUAGCAGUGAAAUGCGUAGAGAUGUGGAGGAACACCGAUGGCGAAGGCAGCCCCCCCUGGGUCAAG
rnacentral:rRNA from 1 species